rnacentral:rRNA from 1 species
AACGAACGCUGGCGGCAUGCCUAACACAUGCAAGUCGAACGAUACCUUCGGGUCUAGUGGCGCACGGGUGCGUAACGCGUGGGAACCUGCCCUUAGGUUCGGAAUAACUCCCCGAAAGGGGUGCUAAUACCGGAUAAUGUCUUCGGACCAAAGAUUUAUCGCCUUUGGAUGGGCCCGCGUUGGAUUAGCUAGUUGGUAGGGUAAAAGCCUACCAAGGCGACGAUCCAUAGCUGGUCUGAGAGGAUGAUCAGCCACACUGGGACUGAGACACGGCCCAGACUCGUACGGGAGGCAGCAGUGGGGAAUAUUGGACAAUGGGCGAAAGCCUGACCCAGCAAUGCCGCGUGAGUGAUGAAGGCCUUAGGGUUGUAAAGCUCUUUUACCCGGGAUGAUAAUGACAGUACCGGGAGAAUAAGCGCCGGCUAACUACGUG